GGCAUUAAUCCCAGCAGUUUCUUGGGAAUGCUAAAUUUGAGUUGAUUAUUUUGAAAUGUUUCUUUUUAUUUGCAUGUGCACCCAGAUAUUUUCCUCGCUUGAAGCUGGGUCAGAUUCUUGCAUCUGUAGAAGUUAAGCCUGGAUAUGGAGUAUUUGCUAUUGAUUUCAAUAUUGUAAAGACAAUCCAAUAUGAACCGCAGGAGAAAAUACGACUGUUUGUUGCUCAAAAAGAUAAUACUGAGACGUCUGCAUGCAUAAUCAGUCCUCCACAAGUUAACUUCCUUGUCAAUGGGAAGGGAGUCAACGGAAGGACAAAUGUCUACAUGGAUACUGGACCACAACUUCCAACAAAUAUAACUCAUAUGCUUAAAUUAGGAUCAAAUCUUCUCCAAGCAAUUGGUAGCUUCAAUGGUCAUUAUGUUAUAGCAGUUGCCACCAUGGGUACCGCACCAUCACCUGAGUCCUCUGUUCUGCAAGAUUAUAUACAGCCAGUUGUUUCUACUGUGGAUUCAGAUUCUGACAUAAUCGAGGGUCCAUCACGAAUAUCCCUUAAUUGCCCCAUAAGGUUCUAUAGACAGUUUCUGCAUACAAUUCUGAUACUUCCAGCAACUGCAGUGCUUUAAUUUAUUAGUAUGCUAUUUUCAUAAUUUAUUAGUAUGCUAUUUUUAUAAUUCUGCUAAUUAUAUAAUUUAUUAGUGCAUUAAUUUAUAUAUUCCUUCUGAUAUGAUGUGUGAGAUAAUUAGUACAGGCUUUAACUGUUCCGUCACUGAUCUGUUACAUAUAAAAUUUAUUGAUUUUCAUCGUUGUGGAAGCAUCGAUUUAAAUGUUCAUGGAUAUGCUAUAUCGUAUAAAGAGUGUGGAGUGAUGGAGUGAUUAGUUGGAUAAGGGUAAAUUAGGGCAUCUUGGUCAAAUUUUAAAAUUAGGCUUAGUUUCCUUGAUUGAUUAAGAUCAGGAAUGGAUUAGUUUCUUUGAUUAAUUAGGAUUAGGAUUAGUUUCCGUCUUAAUUCUUUAUAAAUAGAGGAAUUGUCUUCUUAGAUUAAUACUUUGAUUUUUCUUCUUUAUCCUUUAGGCUACAUGAAUUUGGUAUUAGAGAGAAUGCUUGGGCCAACCUUGGCUGCCAUUGGUGGAAGAUCGAGAAACUCUUGGCAGUGCAAAUCAUAAGAGGGAGCUUUGUGGGCUGUGUUCGUUGCUGAACGAUACACACCUAAUUAAGAGGAACCCUAUAAAUUCAAGAACAAAAAGAAAUUUGAAGAAUGGUCCAAGAAUGACGUUCUACGAUGCUAGAAGAAUGUCCAAAUCUAGAAAGUACUUUCACAGUUAUGAAAAAUGACCAAGAAAGGUGGAAGCCUAUUCAAGAACACCUGACACUUCCUACUACAAUUAUCUUGAACCUAACAAAGUAGUUGCGUGUAUCCUACGUCAAUCUUGGAGCACUUGAAGAAAUUAGAAAAAGAGUGAAUGACCAAUGUUCGUGGUAUCUUGAAAACAAUGAUCGCAAAAUUUGGAACAAUCUUCAAGAAGACGACAAGGAAUUCGAAAAGGCUAGAAUUGCAAAUAUUGAGAGUAACAUGAAAUUCAAGAGCCUAGCCGAAGCUAUGAAACCAAGCAAGAAACAAAUGAAACAGAAAAUCUAGAAGAUUUGAGACUUGAGUGUGAGAGUGGUAAGAAAAUAUGUUGAGAUCUAGGACUCGAGUGUGAAGGACGCCGUGGGCGACGAAGAAGAAAAGUCAAUUGAAAAAGAAAAUCCUAACUCAAGGUUGCACAACCUAUGUAUUGACGAAAUCACGAGCAAGAAACAAGAAGAUGGGAUGAUGACACCUAAAACCCUAUUUGUAGUCCUCGACAAGGCAAAAGAAAAAGUUGCGAUCCAAGGUAGUGUUGUUGCUUGCGAAGAAGAAGAAGACGAGAAGGAAAAAUAUGCGCCUUUUUCGACACAAUACCCAUCCAACCUGAAUCGUUUUAUUUUGGUAUUUUUUUUUACUCGUAAUCUACACAUUCCAACCCAACUCCCUUCAUUUUGACCUCAUGACCCAUGCAAUCGGACCCAACUUUGGGUCUUAUCACUUUUUUCCUUAAUUCAACUAAGCCCGACUACAAAUCAACAAAGGCCAUUUAAACAAUAAACUCAAUCCAUUUUCAAUUUUGGACGUCUGGGAGCUUCUUUUAUUCAAGUUAGCAAUUUUCUCCUCAAGGCACACUAUUAUUUGGACUCAAUUGGCUUGGAAGAUGAUUACUUUUUUUAUUUAUUUUAUGUUUUUAGUAUAUUUUAAUGUUGAGGGUCUUUAUUUAUUAUUAUUAUUUUUUUAAUAAUAUGCAUUUCUUUUUAAAACUCGAUGACAAGUUUUUUUGGAAGGGAUAGAAUGAUGUAGUAGAUUAAGGGUAAAUCAAGGUAUCUUGGUCAAAUCAAUGAUGAGGAUUAUGAUUAGUUUCCUUGAUUGAUUAGGAUUUGGAUUAGUUUCUUUAAUUAAUUAAGAUUAGGAUCAAUUUGUUUUCCAAUUCUCUAUAAAUAGAGGGAUUGUCUUCUUGUAUUGAUAACUUUUGAUUGAUAAUAUGGAACAAGAGCAAGCUUAUGGUCACUGAAACCCUUAAAGGAAGGAGAGAAAAUAUGUAUGGCCUGAGCUAGUAUCCCUUUAUAGUAUUGUUUAGAAGCACGAUGCAUUGGAGGAGAUUUCAACAUCACUAGAUGGGCUCAUGAACGUUUUCCUAUUGGAAGAAUCACCAAAGAUAUGUGAAAGUUUAACAAUUUUAUUGAUCAAGCUAAACUAUUGAAAAUUCCUCUUUCCAAUGGCAGGUUUACUUGGUCCUGAGAAGGCAGCUCUAUUGCAAGGUCACUAAUUGAUCGGUUUUUCUUUACUGAAGGUUGGGAUGAAGAGUUUGAAACACUAGAGACAACCGGCAAGCUCGCUUAUUUUCAGAUCAUUUCCCUCUUGUACUCGAAGCUGGUUCUUUUCGUUGGGGUCCCUCCCCUAUUUGAUUUGCAAUAGCUGGUUGCUAAAUAAGGAAUGCUCCAAGCCAUUGAAAGAGCUUGGAGAAGUUGUCAUUCUAUUGAGUGGGCUGGUUUUGUUCUUAGUGCUAAAAUGAGAAAGGUGAAAAUUGCAAAUAAAGCUUGGUUUGCUGAUUUCCGGGAGUUGCAAAAAGGAAAGGAAGAGGAGUUGAAAGAAAUUGAAAAAUGGGAUGCCUUGGCUGAAUCAGUCCACUUUUCUGACCUUGAAAAUGAUUUUAGAACAUCUUUGAAGGCUGAAUUGAUGUCUUUAUACAGACGGGAGGAAUUAAGUUUAAUGCAAAAAAAGCAAGCUAAAUUGGAUAAGGUUGGGAGACAAAAAUACCAGCUUUUUUCAUUGGUUUCUUGCAGCUAAAAAGAGAAGAAAUUUAAUUACUGAAUUGGUGAAUGACCAAGGAGUGCCAACCAAAUCAUUUGGAGAGACCGAAAGUUUAAUUUUGGGAUUCUAUGAGCACUUAUACGCUCGAAUGCCCGGAUCUCGUCACAUCCCAUUGAACUUUGAGUGGCCAUGUAUUACCUCAAACCAGAAUGCUAUUCUUACAGCUAGAUUUUCAGAGGUAGAAACUAAGUCGGCUUUGAAGGCACUUGGUAAGAGUAAAGCUCCAGUUUCAGAUGGUUGCACAGUAGAAUUUCUCCUAAAGUUUUGGGAUUUAGUGAAGCAGAAUUUCCAAUCUUUAUUUGAAGGUUUCUACAAGAAUGGAAGACUAAAUGCAUGUAUCUAGGAAAACUUCAUUUGUUUAGCUCAAAAGAAGGAGAAUGCCAUUGCUGUUAAGGAUUUCCGGCCAAUCGGCCUCACUAACUUAACUUGCAAGGUUCUUGCUGAAAGAUUAAAAAAAGUCAUGCCUUCUAUUAUUGCUCCAACCUAAAAUGUCUUUAUAGAGGGGAGACAAAUCUUGGAUCCAAUUUUAAUAGCUAAUGAAGUAAUGGAGUAUUGAGUUAAAAAGAAGAAAGGAUUAUUCUCAAACUAGAUCUUGACAAAGCUUUUGACCACGUAGAUUGAGACUUUUUAGAGAAGAUUUUGUUGAAUAAAAAGUUUGAUCAGAAAUGGAUCAAGUGGAUAAUGGGUUGUGUCAAGAACCCUAGAUAUUCAAUUUUCAUUAACGGUAGACUGAGAGGAAGAAUUUUUGCAUCAAGGGGAAUUAGGCAAGGUGAUCCCCUCUCGCCUUUCCUAUUUCUUCUAGUUAGCGAAGUCUUGGGGGCUCUUUGUGGAUAAACUUCAUCAAAAUGGACUAUUCGAAGGGUUUGUGGUGGGAAAAGAGAAGACGCAUGUUUUUGUCCUUCAAUUCGCAUACGACACAUCGAUAUUUUGCAAAUUUACUGUAAUAUGCUUGCAAAACUAAAGUAAACUGAAUUUGUUUGAAUGGUGUUCAAGUCAGAAAGUGAACCGGAAAAAAUCAGCCUUGUGUGUUGUGAAUGUGGAUGAGAAUGAGUUACUGCCCAAUGCUGCAAGUUUCAAUUGCAAAGCUGAUCAUCUACCUCUCCUUUACCUUGGUUUACCAUUGGGGGAUGCCCUAAACAGGUUUCUUUUUGGCAACCUGUACGCUAAACUAGACAAAUGGAGGAGAUUCAACUUUUAGUAGAUAGAAUUCAUGCUAAACUAGACAAAUGGAGGAGAUUCAAUCUAUCUAGAGGAGGGAGAGCUACCUUGUGUAAAUCAGUGUUAUCCAACCUUCCCACUUAUUACAUGUCAACUUUCUUAAUGCCAGAAACUGUCAUAUCGACCUUGGAAAGAAUAUUACGUAAUUUCUUUUGGGAAGGCCAUAAUGGUAGCUAGAUUAACCAUUUGGUGAAGUGGGAUCUUGUCACAAGGUCUCAAGCUGAUGGAGGCCUCGGUUUGGGGGGGCUUUAAGGCAAAGAACUUGGCUCUCUUAGCCAAGUGGGGUUGGAGAUAAAUUGAAGAAGAAAAUUCACUAGGGUGUCAGGUAGUUAGAAGCAUCCAUGGUAAAGACUCCUUCAAUUGGCAUGCGGGUAAAGUUGGAAGAAGCUUGAGAAGUCCUUGGAUAAGUAUCUCUAGAACUUGGCAGAAGAUGGAUGUUUUGGCUACAUUUAAACUUGGAAAUGGCAAUCCGAUUGCUUUUUGGUUAGAUACAUGGGAAGGUGUGGUCCCUUUUAAUAUUUGGUACCCAAGACUCUAUAAAGUAGCUUGACUUCUAAAAGGAUCGGUAGCUGAUUAUUGGGAAGUUCUUUGGCUUCUUGGUCAAUCACCUGCUUAAGGAGGAGGAAAUUUUUGAGUAUCAGGGAUUGCUUGCAAAAUUUCAGCUAGGAAAGUGAUAGAAGCCUUUGAUAGAAGAUCGUGGUCAUUAGAAGGAAGUGGAAUUUUUUCAGUAAAAUCUCUCUUGGCACAUUUAUCUCCCUCUUCCCCUUUGGACAAGUUGUCUUAUUAAGCGUUAUGGAAGUCCAAUUGCCCAAUGUGUAUCAACAUUCGCAUGUGGAUAAUGGUUUUUGGUCACCUAAAUGUUUCCUAAAUAAUGCAACAUAAGUUGCCUUCUAGUUGUUUAUCCCCCUCCAUUUGCCCUUUGUGUAAACAGCACAGAGAAGAUCUACAAUAUCUCUUCUCCACUUGCCCAUAUUCCGUAAACUGCUGGUGGAAAUUAUUCACUAUCUUCAACAUUUCAGGGGUGAUUAGUAAUUAUUUUAGAGGAAAUGUGCAACAGCUCUUUAUAAGACCACAUUUCAAUAGAAAUUUGAUUGAUCUGGAUCAACGCAGUCAAGGCAUUGCUGUUUGAGUUGUGUUUUGAAAGAAAUCAAAGGGUGUUUCAUGAUCAACCCUUUGGCUGGAUGGAUCAGUUUGAAUUUGCUCGUAGGAAUGCCUCUUCGUGAUGCUCCAUGUCCAAGCAAUUUGAAGGCUACAUGUAAGGCCUCUAGUUAGGAAUAUAUUGGGAUAAUUAGUGGAAUAUUAGUAGGGCGAUUAAAAGGGACAUAUGAGUAAUUAGAUAUGACAUUUGUUAGGAAUUUUAAAUAGAAGGAAAGGGUUUGAAAGGAAUCAAAGAGUGUUUCAUGAUAAAGUAUCUCUUAGCCCCCUCAAAUUUGAUAUCGCUCAUCUCAACACCUCUUCUUGGUGCUCCCUUGCAAAAGAAUUUAAAGAUUUCUCCAUUCAAGACAUCAAUCUCAAUUGGAAUGCCUUCAUUAUCCCGCUUUCAUGAUUUUGUAAUAGCUUAGUUUUUGGCUUUAAGUUUAUCUUUCAGUUCCGCAUCUGAUGUAAGCCUAUGUAUCAGGCAUGAUUUCUUUCAGCUUAGUUCUAAGUUUAAGCCUCGUUGCUUUAAGAGUUAGGAGAUGAUGAGAGUGCUAUGGAGGUGUCAACCUAGUUGAUGAGAUGUCUUGGUGCACUUGCUGAUCCUUGUUAUGUUAUGUUUUAGAGUUUUGCUUUAACAUUUGUUUCCUUUCUUUCACUUGUAUCAGCUUUCAUUAUCUUAAUGAAGUGGCUUGUUUUUGUUCAAAAAAAAAAAAAUAAAAAUAGAAGGAAAGAGGUUGGAGGGAAGUGUGAAGAAUUUAGUAGGAUUUCCUAAUUAGUGAUUUUAGGAGAGUCUAGCCCUCUCGAAAGGCUAGGAGUUAUCUGGUUCAUUUUCCAAUAUAUUUCUAUAUUGAAUUGUUCUUGAGUUUAUUCUUGUUAGGAGGGAUCCUAACACUAUACCAUUCAAGAAUUUUGCUUAAAUUGGCGAGCGUAACUUUGCCAGCAUAAUAUUUGCUUCUUGUAUCGGUUUAAGUCGCACUUUCGUUGCUCUGUUUAUGGUAUUUUGUGGUAUUUUAUAUUGUUUUCGCCUUAAUGCUGUCAUCCUUGUUUCUUUGUUCCUUCUUUGUAAGGGUUGUGUUUUAACCUCGGACCAUUUCAUAUUGAGAUUAGUUUGUAGGAAAUGAUGAGGGCGCUAAGGGAUUGUCAACCUAGUUGAGAUGCCUGAGUGGGCCUCCUGAUCCAUAGGCCUUAUGCUUUGUGCUCUUUGUAUAACUCUCUUGUAUUUUGAGCAUUAGUCUCAUUCAAUCUUAUUUAAUCUUAUUAAUGAAGAGACUUGUUUCCUUUUGAAAAAAAAAAAACUUUUGAUUGAUAAUAAAGCCUUUGAUAAGACUUAAGUUGCUCUUGUACCACUUGAUAAGAACAUCAAAACUUCCACCUAUCUCCACAAUGAUAUGAUAUUGUCCACUUUGGACAUAAUCUUCAUAGCAUUGCUUUUUGGUACCACACCAUAAGGCCUUGUACCAAUGUAGAUAGUCGUUCUCACUUAUAUAUCCAUGACCAUUCCAUUAUUUAGUCAAUGAGUCGCAUUCUUGACAAUCCUCCCCUCGGUCUACCUCCUCUUAAAUAGUCAACCAUCGAGCCUCCUCUUAAAUAGUCAUCUAUCUGUCUUAACUCUUCUCUAGGCUAACUCCUUUUUACUCGAGCACACUGCCUAUCCGAUAGAGUUCAACCACAGAUCACACCAUGACUACUUCUGAGGCUCCACUACAUCUUUAUUCGACAUCUGAGGAUUCUAUCAACAUGACUAAGUUUGGAGCAUGGCUCUGAUAUCAAAUUGAUAUAGCCUAAAGGACGAAAAGAGGAAAUUUUCCAAUAAUAAAAUUAGCCUUUAUUAUCAAUCAAAAGUUAUCAAUACAAGAAGACAGUCCCUCUAUUUACAGUGAAUUGGAAAGCAAACUAAUCAUAAUCCUAAUUAAUAAAAGAAACUAAUACUAAUCCUAAUCAAUCAUGGAAAUUAAUCCUAAUCCUAAUCUAUUAAGAAUUUGACUAAGAUAUUCUAAUUUACCCUAAUCCUACUACAUCAUGGGAUAAGGUACUGCGUACCGGUAGGAUAAAUGGAAAGGGGUAGUUGAAAUAGUCAUGUAAGGUUGUGAGGCCUCCAAUUGUGGAUACAUACUAUAGGAGGGGUUCAAAGGGAAAUUGCCACUACCGUUAGUUAGUGGAAGGUGACAUGCAGAUGGAGCGUGGGAGUGAGUACUAAGCUUAAAGGGAAUUCUCUACUAUGUGAGAUAGAGCUUUUCAUUUUGUAAUUGAAUAGUGUUUUUUUUUUUGCCCUCCAACAUAGCCUGAGCUGAACAUCUCCAUGACACCUUUGCUUUACCACUGAGAUUCCACCCGUUUAAAGCUUUCAGUAAGCCACUCCAAUAAAAAUUUGGAUAAACAUAUAGCUAAACCAACGGCUUUGAGCAAAAGGUUCCACUCCCUCAAGGAGAAAGGACACCGAAGAAACAAAUGAUCUACAUUUCCAUCGUCCCUAACACAUAAGCUGCGAGAGAGUACCAGCCCUGGGAGUGUGUUCCGUGUUCUUUUGUUUUCUCCAUUUCUGUUUAUUGAAAGUGAAAGGGAAAAGAAGUAACACAAGGUUUACGUGGAAAACCCUAAUUCAGGGAGAAAAAACCACGAUAGAGAAGUUUUUAUUAUUUUAAUGUCAUACAUACAAGAGACCCCAAACUCAGAUUAAAUAGAAUGAGGGAAACCUUAAUUUUAGUAGGCAUAAAGGAAAAGAAAAAUAUGCCCCUAGGGCUAAUGCACCAUAUUUCAACACUCCCCCUCAAGUUGUGGUGUAGAUAUUAGCAAGACCCAACUUGCUAACACAAGCUUCAAACGUUUGUCUCGGUAAUCCUUUGGUAAGAACAUUUGCAACCUGUUGGACUGAAGGAACAUAGGGAAUAUAGAUAACCCCGUGGUCUAACUUCUCUUUAAUAAAGUGUCUGUCAAUUUCAACAUGCUUGGUUGUAUCAUGUUGUAUUGGAUUGUUGGCAAUACUGAUGACAACCUUAUUAUCACAAUACAGCUUCAUGGGACCCAGAUUGUCUUGGUGAAGAUCAGCCAAAACUUUAUGUAACCAUAUUUCUUCACACACUCCCUGGCUCAUAGCUCUAUACUCUGCCUCAACACUGCUUCUGGCAACUACACCUUGUUUUUUACUCCGCCAGGUCACUAAAUUUUCCCAUACAAAAGUACAAUAUCCCGAGGUUGACUUUCUAUCUAUCAUUGAACCUGCCCAAUCUGAGUCAGUAUAUGCUUCGAUGCUCCGUAUGUCAUAUUUUCUAAAAACCAAGCUCUUCCCUGGAGUAGGCUUCAGAUAUCUCAAAAUUCAAGUCACUACUUCCAUGUGUUCCUCAUACGGAUUCUGCAUGAACUGGCUUACCACACUUACAGCAUAGGAGAUGUUGGGCCUACUAUGAGACAGAUAAAUCAGUUUUCCUACAAGGUGUUGAUACCUCUCCUUAUUUAUAGGCACUCUUUCCGUAAUGUUUUUCAGUUUGCCAUUAACCUCAAUAGGAGUGUCAAUGGGUUUGCAUCUAGUCAUUCCUGUUUCCUUUAACAGGUCCAGAGUGUACUUCCGUUUAGACACUGAUAUUCUUGCUUUCGAUCUUGCCAUUUCCAUCCCGAGAAAAUACCUCAAACUACCAAGAUCUUUGAUCUUAAAUUCGCCUGCUAUCCUCUAUUUUAGUUUAACAAUUUCUAUCGUAUCAUCCCCUGAUAAAAUGUUAUCAUCGACAUACACUACCAAAACAGCAAUCUUCCCUGAAAGUGAUCUUUUGGUGAACAAUGUAUGAUCAGAAUGCCCAUGAACAAACCUUUGGAAUUUAACAAACACUGUGAACCUAUCAAACCACGCUCUCGGAGACUGUUUCAACCCAUAUAAGGACUUUCUGAGUCUGCAGACAUGGUUUCCAAAUUUAGCUUCGAAACCUGGAGGGGGACUCAUGUAAACCUCUUCUUCUAACUCACCAUUAAGGAAGACAUUUUUAUCAUCCAGUUGAUGUAGAGGUCAAUCCUUAUUCACUGUAACAGACAGAAGAACUCGGAUCGUGUUGAGCUUAGCCACUGGAGAAAAAGUUACUGAAUAAUCAAUCCCAUACGUUUGAGUAAACCCUUUAGCAACUAACUAGGCCUUAUAUCUUUUGAGCGUUCCGUUAGACUUAUACUUCACCAUGAACACCUAUUUGCAGCCAACUGUCUUGUGACCUCUAGGGAAAGUCACUAAAUCCCAAGUUUGGUUCGCCUUGAGAGCUCUCAUUGCUUCCAUUAGUGUUGCUCUCCACUCGGGAGCCUCCAUGGCUGCAUGCACAUUGGUAGGUAUUGCUAGGGCAUCCAGUUGAGUAGUGAAAGCCUUAAAAACAGGAGACAAGUUAUUGUAGGUCAGAAAACUGUGCAUAGGGUACUUUGUACAUGACCUGGUUCCUUUAGAGCGAUUGGCAUAUCAAGAGUGGUAUCAUAAUUGCCAGUCUUUGUCGGCCUCUCUCCACAAACUUUUGAGGCAAUUUUUUACCUUCCUGAGAGUCUUCCAGCACUUCAUUACCUCCUGUAAUUUCAGCCUUCUCUGAGUCUGUCUCACCACCUUCUAUGCACCCAGGUUUCUCUUCAAGAAUCUUCUUUAAAAUAGCAGGAUCUUGAACCUGAGCUGGUUCCGAUGCUUGGACACUUUCCGAUGGAACAACAAGAAUUUCCUGGGUUUCCUUUCUGAGAUUCUUCCUAUAGUAUGUUAUCCAGGGCAUUUGUCUAGUGGGGAGGAUAGACACUGGAAUAUCAGUGACAGGUUCGGGACUAGGUAGGCUGGAUUCAGGAAUGGGUUCAGGAAUAGUAGAACUAGUCUCAAGAUUGAAGCUAAUAGGUACGGAGUAUGUGGAACUGUUAGUCUCUUCACUCGUGGUCUCCCUCUGAAGACGACUAACGGGAAAGAAUGGUUCAUCUUCAAGGAAUGUGACAUCCAUAG